GUCCAUGCUGUAAACGAUGAGAACUUGCUGUUAGACAUAUAGAAGUGUUUAGUAGCGUAGCUAACGUGUUAAGUUCUCCGCCUGGGGAGUACGACCGCAAGGUUAAAACUCAAAGGAAUUGACGGGGGCCCGCACAAGCGGUGGAGCAUGUGGUUUAAUUCGAUGCAACGCGAAGAACCUUACCUACCCUUGAUCCCUGGAAUCAAAUAGAGAUAUUUGAGUGCCUUUUAGGAACCAGGUGACAGGUGCUGCAUGGCUGUCGU
rnacentral:rRNA from 1 species